UACGGAGGGUGCAAGCGUUAAUCGGAAUUACUGGGCGUAAAGCGUGCGUAGGCGGUUGACUAAGUCGGAUGUGAAAUCCCCGGGCUUAACCUGGGACGUGCAUUCGAAACUGGUCGGCUAGAGUCUGGUAGAGGGUAGGGGAAUUCCCGGUGUAGCGGUGAAAUGCGUAGAUAUCGGGAGGAACAUCCGUGGCGAAGGCGCCUACCUGGACCAAGACUGACGCUGAGGUACGAAAGCGUGGGGAGCAAACAGG
rnacentral:rRNA from 1 species